rnacentral:rRNA from 1 species
UACGGGGGGAGCAAGCGUUGUUCGGAUUUACUGGGCGUAAAGGGCGCGUAGGCGGCCAGCACAAGUCAGUUGUGAAAUCUCCGAGCUUAACUCGGAAAGGUCAACUGAUACUGUGCGGCUAGAGUGCGGAAGGGGCAACUGGAAUUCUUGGUGUAGCGGUGAAAUGCGUAGAUAUCAAGAGGAACACCAGUGGCGAAGGCGGCUCACUGGCCCGGUACUGACGCUGAGGUGCGAAAGCGUGGGGAGCAAACAGG